GGUCGUCUGUCUCCUCUCGCGAAGCCAGCCCGACACACCGAUCCAUGUGAGUCCCUUCCGAAGCCGCCGCUAGGUGAAAGUGGAUGGCCUUUCCCAAUAGAGAUGGACCUGUCUUCCUUAGAGGGUAUAUGAGUAGCUGCUCUCCCCUGCUAGAACCUCCAAACAAGCUCUCAAGAAAGACAAGGAGUAAACAAAGGGGUGGAUACCACCCAGUGAAGAAAUAGACUGAGGAAAGCAUAAAAUGAGUUAUGACUAAUAUU
rnacentral:snRNA from 1 species